rnacentral:rRNA from 1 species
GACGAACGCUGGCGGCGUGCUUAACACAUGCAAGUCGAACGGAAAGGCCCUGCUUGCAGGGUACUCGAGUGGCGAACGGGUGAGUAACACGUGGGUGAUCUGCCCUGCACUUCGGGAUAAGCCUGGGAAACUGGGUCUAAUACCGGAUUUGACCUUCCAUGUAGUGUGGGGGGUGGAAAGAUUUAUCGGUGUGGGAUGAGCCCGCGGCCUAUCAGCUUGUUGGUGGGGUAAUGGCCUACCAAGGCGUCGACGGGUAGCCGGCCUGAGAGGGUGGACGGCCACAUUGGGACUGAGAUACGGCCCAGACUCCUACGGGAGGCAGCAGUGGGGAAUAUUGCACAAUGGGCGGAAGCCUUAUGCAGCGACGCCGCGUGGGGGAUGACGGCCUUCGGGUUGUAAACCUCUUUCGACAGGGACGAAGCUUCGGUGACGGUACCUGUAUAAGAAGCACCGGCUAACUACGU